rnacentral:rRNA from 1 species
UGCGUAGGUGGAUUGGUAAGUCAGUGGUGAAAUCUCCGGGCUUAACCCGGAAACUGCCAUUGAUACUAUCAGUCUUGAAUACCGUGGAGGUCAGUAGAAUAUGUCAUGUAGCGGUGAAAUGCUUAGAUAUGACAUAGAAUACCAAUUGCGAAGGCAGCUGGCUACACGAAUAUUGACACUCAGGCACGAAAGCGUGGGGAUCAAACAGGAUUAGAUACCCUGGUAGUCCACGCCCUAAACUAUGGAUACUCGACAUACGCGAUACACUGUGUGUGUCUGAGCGAAAGCAUUAAGUAUCCCACCUGGGAAGUACGAUCGCAAGAUUGAA